rnacentral:rRNA from 1 species
GAUGAACGCUGGCGGCGUGCCUAAUACAUGCAAGUCGAGCGAACAGAUGAGGAGCUUGCUCCUCUGACGUUAGCGGCGGACGGGUGAGUAACACGUGGAUAACCUACCUAUAAGACUGGGAUAACUUCGGGAAACCGGAGCUAAUACCGGAUAAUAUAUUGAACCGCAUGGUUCAAUAGUGAAAGACGGUUUUGCUGUAACUUAUAGAUGGAUCCGCGCCGCAUUAGCUAGUUGGUAAGGUAACGGCUUACCAAGGCAACGAUGCGUAGCCGACCUGAGAGGGUGAUCGGCCACACUGGAACGGAGACACGGUCCAGACUCCUACGGGAGGCAGCAGUAGGGAAUCUUCCGCAAUGGGCGAAAGCUUGACGGAGCAACGCCGCGUGAGUGAUGAAGGUCUUCGGAUCGUAAAACUCUGUUAUUAGGGAAGAACAAAUGUGUAAGUAACUAUGCACGUCUUGACGGUACCUAAUCAGAAAGCCACGGCUAACUACGUG